rnacentral:rRNA from 1 species
CAGCCGCCGCGGGAAUACGAAGGGGGCUAGCGUUGCUCGGAAUGACUGGGCGUAAAGGGCGCGUAGGCGGUUUUGACAGUCAGAUGUGAAAUUCCUGGGCUUAACCUGGGGGCUGCAUUUGAGACGUCAAGACUAGAGUGUGAGAGAGGGUUGUGGAAUUCCCAGUGUAGAGGUGAAAUUCGUAGAUAUUGGGAAGAACACCGGUGGCGAAGGCGGCAACCUGGCUCAUUACUGACGCUGAGGCGCGAAAGCGUGGGGAGCAAACAGGAUUAGAUACCCCAGUAGUCCCUGUCUCUUAUAC